CCCUUGCCUCGUGCAAGUGGGAGGGUGUUUGUCCCAGCCCGGGACUCACAAGCCCAAGAAGAAGCCUGAUUGGUUGGCUGGCUCGUGGUGGGCGGGGCUUGCUGAGAGGCCGAGCGUUUCCCCGCUCUGGCCUCUCAGUCGGCUGUUUGUUUCCGAUUAGGAAGGAGCUCAGUCCGGGAGCUCCUUCCUCGAAGGCCUUAGUUGGGGGGGUGCGCCCGACAAGCGGGCGAGGCGGCAUUCGGCGGCGUUCCGUCGAGGGGGCCAUAGUGUCAGCGGUGGCCCCGCUGGUAGGGGGGUACUCCCGGGACUGCUCCCGGCUGGGUUGCAGCUGCAGCAGCAGCGUCUUUGGGCCUCUUCAGCGCGGCGUCGGCACUCGGCUUCCUGGGCGUGGUUCUCCUUCUGGGCGUUUGCCCUUUUGGUUUGUGGGGUAUUUGGGGGGUUUCCAUCAGCCUGGGUGGCUGGGCAGCGGCCCCUUUUCCGUUCCCUGGAGCACUACUUUGAUGCCAACAUUCUUUUAUUUGUUUGGUGGGUAGCAGGUGGGUGUUUGUGCUCAUCGGUGCCCUGGUGGGCCUGGCCUGGUUGAGAGUCAAAAGGCCUUUUCAAGCCUUCUCCUUGGGUGGGGGGCUCUGGUGCUUUCCUGGAUAGGAUUGAGUAUUGUUUUUGAUUCAGGACAAGGGCUUGGCUUUUGUUCUAUAUCCUUGCUACCUUCAUUCUGUGUGUGGUUGGCGCUUUUUUUUUUUUUCUCCAACCCCUUUUGGAAUCCCACUAUUUGGAGGCAGUAUGUCGGGGAAGGCCAAGGGCAAGAAAGGGGGGCGCCCUGUUAAGCAGCCCAAGAGGCCUGCUCCCCCGCAGUCCUCCUCGGAGGAGGAGGAUGAGGAGAUGACUCUGAUACGGGGGUUAAUUAAUAGGAUGGAAGCUUUAGAGAAAGCAAAAGCAGCCCCCUCCGACAAAGGUGCGGGUCCUUCAGGUGUGUGGGGGGGUGCCUCCUCCUAAGGUCCCUCGGAGGACCAGGGGUUCUGUGAAAAGCCAGCUGCUAACUUCUCUCUCUAGUAGGCUGGCUGCGCUGGAAGAAGGGCUGAACCCUGCUGGACCGGGCCCUUCUGCUCCUGCGUUACCGCUUCCUGAACCUGAGUCUCCAGUUCCGGAGUCGCCUUCACCAUUGCUACCUCCGCCUGCGGCACCAGUUGUUCAGCCUCCAGUGGAUACGGCUACUCCUUUGGCCCAGGGUGCUGGCGGGGCGGCGGUCCCGGUCCGAGUCCUGAUGUGUGGCCAUUCGUUGGUCUUCUGGGCUUUCAAGCGGGCCAGCACCACCCGCUGGGGAUCCCAGUUGGGUUUAGGAAGCAAGGCUUCAGUUUAUUGGUUGGGCAUGAGGGGCAUGCUCUGGAAUCAGUUGCUUCCAGCAUUGAGGGAGCAUUUAGAUAGGUUUCCCAUUCCCGACAUCCUGGUUCUUCAUUUAGGGGAGAAUGAUUUGGGCCGGCGGCCUGGCCUCGCCAUCCUUCAGCAAGCCUCCUCGGAUUUGUCUAUUUUGCGCAGCUGGAUGCCUGGCGUGCGCAUAAUAUGGGUUAAUUGGCUCCAGCGCAGGGUGUGGCGGGGUGCUCAUUCUUGCCUUAGCUUGGAAAAGGCACGCAGGAAGAUUUCAGCCGCAAUAGGUAAAGUGGUUUUGGCGGCCGGGGGUUCUGUGGUGCGGCAGCCAGAUAUAGCUGCUCGCUUUCCCGAGUUAUUCCGCCCUGACGGGGUCCACCUGUCUGAGAAAGGUUGUGAUUUGUAUCUGCAUAAUAUCCGGGAAGUGCUUGCUGAAGGUUUGGAGGGGGUGGGGCAGGAAGGUCAAGCGAGGGCUAACCUUCCUGGGUGGCGGUAACAGUGCGGGCUGUGGGUAAGGAGGUCUAGAUUUCGGUGAGCACCCUUGGACAUUUUAAGGUGGAUUGGUCAAUUGCUUCCUUGUGGCCUGUGCGGCACGGGAAGAAUUACAUUGCCAAGAAACCUGCUUCAGGACUUCACCUACCUUUGGGCUGUGCGGUCCGGGGAGGUAAAGAUCUGAAGCUGUCCAGAUCCCCUCUUCUAAAAGGGGUGGUUGGCUUUGAAGGAAUUGGGCGGGAGCUACCUGCCUCUUUCCUGAGCCAGGGUGUGUCGCCCUUGCAGGCGAUGGGUAGGACGUUUUGAAUCCUAGCCCACGCCUAGGUGCCCGCACUGUUUUUAUGUUGGUGAUUAAUCACCUUGUUUCCAGUCCGCCACAAAUGUUGUUAUAUUAAUAAAGCGUGGCCCGUUUCUCCCAUUAAAAAAUGUCUCUGUGUCUUCUUGGGCUGGGGUCUGGGUACAAUCCCCCUCCCCUUGCCUCGUGCAAGUGGGAGGGUGUUUGUCCCAGCCCGGGACUCACAAGCCCAAGAAGAAGCCUGAUUGGUUGGCUGGCUCGUGGUGGGCGGGGCUUGCUGAGAGGCCGAGCGUUUCCCCGCUCUGGCCUCUCAGUCGGCUGUUUGUUUCCCCCUCCCUCCCUCCCUGUUGCAGAGCAGGUCUAGUGACUGGUCGCCUAUGGGCCGAGUAGGAAUUUUUUGCUCUCAACUUAUUGGCUGUUGUUGGGGGUUUUUCCGCCUACUCUGUUCUGCAGUCAGUUGGUAGUUAGGUUCUAGGUUGGCCACGUUGGCGGUAACAGUGCGGGCUGUGGGUAAGGAGGUCUAGAUUUCGGUGAGCACCCUUGGACAUUUUAAGGUGGAUUGGUCAAUUGCUUCCUUGUGGCCUGUGCGGCACGGGAAGAAUUACAUUGCCAAGAAACCUGCUUCAGGACUUCACCUACCUUUGGGCUGUGCGGUCCGGGGAGGUAAAGAUCUGAAGCUGUCCAGAUCCCCUCUUCUAAAAGGGGUGGUUGGCUUUGAAGGAAUUGGGCGGGAGCUACCUGCCUCUUUCCUGAGCCAGGGUGUGUCGCCCUUGCAGGCGAUGGGUAGGACGUUUUGAAUCCUAGCCCACGCCUAGGUGCCCGCACUGUUUUUAUGUUGGUGAUUAAUCACCUUGUUUCCAGUCCGCCACAAAUGUUGUUAUAUUAAUAAAGCGUGGCCCGUUUCUCCCAUUAAAAAAUGUCUCUGUGUCUUCUUGGGCUGGGGUCUGGGUACAAUGUGCCAUGUACAUUAUUGAAAAUGAUGCUGCUGAAAAUACCUUCAGCCCCUUUAAAAACCAUGCAUGUGCCUCUAGUCUGUGUUUUCCUCUCUAUUUCAGGGCAGUGAACACCAGCCACAGCUGCAGCUUCUCCUCCUGAACUGACCUCCCCCUGACUCUGAAGGAACAGACAGAUUUUGUGUUCUCGCAGUGCUAGGCCUUCCUGUGACCUGAGCGAAAACCCUCCAGCCUCUUUCCCACUAAAGCCACGCUACAGUUCUCCAUUUAUUUUUUCAGCCGAUCGGCCACUGCAGGGAGUGCUGGGCAGCGUGCUGCUGCUUGGAGUCAUUUGCAGCUGCAACUGGAGCAGAGGAGGACUCUGAAGAU